UUCAGUGCGAGUCACUUGUGGUGGUAACACGUAUUUUAAGUGUGGAUAUGGGUACAACAUUUUGUGAAUAUUAUAAAUAAUUACCAGUAAGAAUAUCGACAAUGGUCUUCGCGAAAGCAGUUAAAUCUAAUGAAGAAAUAAUUACAAGUGAACUGAAAUGGAACAUUAAUCAAUUAGAACAUUAGACAUAUAAAAAAUAUCCGUAGGAUUGACCUGGCCACAAGCGGUCUAUGUGAACGCCAAUAAAUAUAAAGAAGAAAUAAACACAAGGAAACCUGGUAUGCUAAUCAAUUGAUAGAAUAGAAAACUGCACGUGAAAAGAGCUAUUG